AACAAGGUUUCCGUAGGUGAACCUGCGGAAGGAUCAUUACCGUUGUACGCGGCCCGCUCGUGCCUCACGGCGCCAGCUCGUCUGCCUAAACAACAAAACUACCGUGCACCUGGUUGAGGCGACGCCUCGGACAAGCUCCCUCGCGGGAGCCCCGAGCGCGGAGCCGGCUGCUCUGUUCGGGGUAACCUUCCGUCUCGGCGAAGGUCUUAAAUGGGUGCCUUGGAGCCACGCGUCUCCCCGGCCCCGCUCAGAGCGGUUUGCCUUUGUUCUUUACUCUCCAACCAAGCGAACAGCAUGUUUGCAGGCAGAACGUGAAUACACGUAUUAAAAGUAAUGUCAAUCGACAACUUUUAACGGUGGAUCUCUUGGCUCGUGGAUCGAUGAAGAACGCAGCAAACUGCGAUACGUAGUGUGAAUUGCAGAAUUCAGUGAAUCAUCGAAUCUUUGAACGCAAAUGGCGCUCUUGGUUCUUCCAAGAGCACGUCUGUCUCAGUGUCGUUUUCUUAUCGAGCACGCUCCGGCGUGGUUGCCAUGAGGGUCUGGCGCUGCCUCUCGUCCACCUGCUGCUUUCGGGCUCAGGCGUGGCGUCUGGCUGCCAGUCCCUUGAAAAUCCGGGAGUUGGCUGCUCCGCCCAUUGCUUGUCGCUGGGCUGGCACGGCUGUUGCGUGUGAACGGCGGUUCGCCGUCGCUCAUGCUCGUCGUGUUUCUCAGUCCAGUGGCGUUUCACUGGCAUGGGCCGUAGUGUUGGGCAGCCUCCUGCUAGAAAACCGAUGAUGAUGCUCUCGCGGCGUCAACUUUGACCUGAGAUCAGUCGAGACUACCCGCUGAAUUUAAGCAUAUUAAUAAGCGGAGGAAAA
rnacentral:rRNA from 1 species